CAAAACCACAGUCUCAGACAGUCAACCACCACUGGCCUGGUUUCAUUUCCCCAGACAUGGAAAGACAUUGAGCAAGUUGGUUUCGACGUCUAACCACAACUGAAGUCACAUGCACUAUUAUCAGUUUCUAUCUGGUUUAUAUUGUCCGUUCAUCCAUUGACGACAGACUAUCAGAUUUUAAUUUGAUUGUGUUACUAGUUUCUGCUUAGUUGCAGAUCAAUGCUGCUGCUGCAGGGGUCCUGUGAUAAAUACCUGGACAACACGGAUGUUGAUCAAUGCUGCUGCUGCAGGGGUCCUGUGAUAAAUACCUGGACAACACGGAUGUUGAUCAAUACUGCUGCUGCAGGGGUCCUGUGAUAAAUACCUGGACAACACUGAUGUUGAUCAAUGCUGCUGCUGCAGGGGUCCUGUGAUAAAUACAUGGACAACACGGAUGUUGUUGAAGAAAAAGUGAACUUUGGAAAUUAAGCUGCACCUCCUGAAUGAAGAGAGUUAUUUGAUGAAGGGGUCAGUGCUCUAAAAUGAGUCUCUCUGGGGAACAUGACACCAAAACUAAGAGUCCAAUCAAGCAGGAGAGACCAGCCUCCCCUGUUCCCAGCUGUGUGUCCAUGAAGAGUGACCGGUCUAUGGAACCUCCUCUAACCUUUAGAGAGGGAGACUUUUCUACUGAACAAAGGUAAGAAGAACUCAUGGGUCCUGGUCAGUGAGUUAAACAACACUGUCUCUAGUCAUUUCUCCUCUCACAUUUUCCCAUUUAUUGUUGUUGUUUUCAUAAUCCAUAGGCUCAUCAUUUUGUCCAUUUGCAUAGUCCUAAAACAAUAUUAAACAAACACAACAUUCCCUCCCUGUGUGUGUGUGUGUGUGUGUGUGUGUGUGUGUGUGUGUGUGUGUGUACGUACUCCCUGGAUGAGGAGAAGUAAUCUCUAUCCUGAUUGCCUCAUCACUUUUACCUCUACCUACAUGUACAUAUUAUCUCAAUUAUAGUCUCAUUAUUACCUCAACUACCUGGUACCCUGCACAUUGACUCAGG
ensembl:lncRNA